AUUGAACGCUGGCGGCAGGCCUAACACAUGCAAGUCGGGCGAGCGGAGGACGGGUGAGUAAUGUAUGGGGAUCUGCCUGAUGGCGGGGGAUAACUACUGGAAACGGUAGCUAAUACCGCAUACCAUCAGAUGAACCCAUAUGGGCUUAGCUAGGAGGUGAGGUAACGGCUUACCUAGGCGACGAUCCCUCGCUGGUCUGAGAGGAUGAUCAGCCACACGGGGACUGAGACACGGCCCAGACUCCUGCGGGAGGCAGCAGUGGGGAAUAUUGCACAAUGGGCGCAAGCCUGAUACAGCCAUGCCGCGUGUAUGAAGAAGGCCUUCGGGUUGUAAAGUACUUUCAGUCGGGAGGCGUUACCGGCAGAAGAAGCACCGGCUAACUCCGUGCCAGCAGCCGCGGUAAUAC
rnacentral:rRNA from 1 species